CUUUAGGAUCCUAGUCAGAAGGGCAGGCACGGCAGGCCUGUGGCGCAGGUGGCUGUCCCAGCCUCGGGAAUGUGCCGAGUAAUUUUCUUUUAAAUAUUAUUACUCAAAUGGCAACAGACAAUUUCAGGGCUCUGGCGGAGAAUCUGAGGACCGCGGAGACGCAAGCCCGACCGGGCAACCCCUGGGGCCUCCAGGCCGGAGAGGGGACCGCCUCUGGGAGCCAGGAGUCCCGGCCGGGGACCGGGUGACUCGGGGCUCUCGGGCUGCUCCGGGGGCCUGGAGGCGCGAGGCCCCGGGCCGCAGCGCAGCCCCAGCCCGGCCCGCCAGCAGGUGGCGCUGUGCGCGGUCCUCAGACGCUGCGCGCCCAGGCGUGGGACACCGCGAGCAGUCCGACCCCAGGCCCGGCGCGGCCCAGACAGUGUUCCCAGGGGCUCCCGCCGGCGGCACGGCAGUGAUUCCCCAGGCCCACCCCGUCCGGCCGGAGGUACUGAUGGAAACCAAGGGAUAAGCAUUUGGAACAGUCUAGAGAGCCUUGGAAGCUGCGUGGGCCGGGAAGAGAAUCAGCAUCACUGUGGAGUGAGGGGCCUCUGCCAGCCAAUCGUGCUGACAUGAAAACACACAAAACCGCCAUCCACAGAUGUGCACACACGCACGCCUCGCCAACACAGCUUCAGCUCAUUUGCAAAACCCAAAGCUGCUUGCAGGUGAGCUGGUGAACGAGAAGCAGGAAGAGGAAGCUCUUGAGGAAACAGUCAGCUCCGCCCCUGCGAGAAUGAGGCCGAACCCAAACCGCAGUGGAAAUGUCAGCACUGAGGAGGCGCAUCGCGGCUUGGCUUGUGGUGGACCCACUGCAUUUAUUGUAACUGGGUAACCCGAGUCUGUCCUGUCCCCAGUCCCCAGCACCACUGCCCCAUUCUAACAGGGUCAGCCAAGUUAAUUCUGCUAUGGAAAAGUGAAAGGAAAAGAGACACCAUAUUAAAGAAUCUUACCACAGUGAUAUAUGCACACCCAUGUUCAUAGCGGCACAGUGCAUAAUAGCUAAAGCUUGGAAACAGCCCAAGUGCCCGUCAACUGGAAACUAGAUAAAGAAGAUGUGGGUUUUUUUAUAAAAUGGAGUACUACUCAGCCAAAGGAAUGAGAAACUAGAGGCAUUUUAUAGCUAAAUGGAUGCAUAUUGAGGCCAUCCUCUUAAGUGAAAUAAAUAGGACACACACACGUGUAAAUACCGAAUCGUUUCUCUAGUGUGAGAAACUGAAACUGUAAUUAAGGAUUAAAAUGCUUAAAAUGAAUAAUGGAUAAUUUGAAAUAAGAAGAAAAGGUCCAAAGGGGUUGGGGAAGUAGGAGGGGUAAGGGAAAGGAAAAAUGAGAAAUGGAAAAAAUGGAAACAAAGUCUUUGUAAAUAGGGAAGGGUGGAGGGGUGCAGGGAGGACAGGGAAUGGGGAAAAAAUAAGAACCAAGAUGCAUCAUGCACAGGUACAAGCACCCAAUGAUAAAUGUAAAUGUAUUGUAUACCUAAAAUGUACCAAUAAAAGAAUUUAAGCAAAAAAAGACUAUAUUUACUACAAUAACAGAAGGAAAGCCCAGGAACUAAGGGUGUAUGAAGUUGAAAGAGAAAGCCGGAUCUGGGAGUCACACCCAUGCUCCCAGCAUUUGGGAGGCUGAGGCAGGAGGACUGUGUCAAGGUUGAGGCCAGCCUGGGCUGCAUAGUGAGACCCUGUUGAGAGAGUGUGUGCAGUGAAGUAAUUCAGUAUCUGACAGAAUAUAAUGCCCUGCUCAGCUGGUGUGUGCCAAGGUCCAAGGACAUGAUGUCUUUCUACUUCUGUGCCAAAAUAUAAACACACAAGGAUGCUGGAGAUCCCCAUAGUCAGGUUCCAGUAGCCACCUGCCCAGUGUGUGAUGCAGGCCUGAGAAAAAGAAUACACUAAGAGACAGAACUAGGAGAGAAAGCGGGGCAGGAUGACCAACGCUGGUGCAACCGACAAAGGCCUGGCCAGUCCCAGGCGCUGACUUUUAUUGGCAAUCAGUUGGGGUAAAGGUGAUGUGUGGUUUCUAUGGAAAUUAAUGUAAACAAGGCUCAUAAAGAACAAGAUGAGUCAGGAACAGAAUAGACAAAAUAUAUGGUUGUAAUUAGAACACUGUCCUAGUCUGAAGGUUUAAAUUGUGGGAACAGAAUUUGGGUGUGAGAUACUUUGACCUUGGCAUGUAGGCUUCGGCCAGACACUCCUAUAAACAAGCCAGUCAUGGGGUUAACUCUUCACUGCCUGCCUUGGGCGUGAUCAAUAUUACAGUCCUCUGCACAAGGAUUUUAGAAAGUCUCACCCAUCCAUCUGAG
ensembl:lncRNA